AUUGAACGCUGGCGGCAGGCCUAACAAAUGCAAGUCGAACGAGUGGCGGACGGGUGAGUAAUGUCUGGGAAACUGCCCGCUGGAGGGGGAUAACUACUGGAAACGGUAGCUAAUACCGCAUACCAUCGGAUGUGCCCAGAUGGGAUUAGCUAGUAGGUGGGGUAACGGGUCACCUAGCCGACGAUCCCUGGCUGGUCUGAGAGGAUGACCGGCUACACUGGAACUGGGACACGGUCCAGACGCCUACGGGAGGCAGCAGUGGGGAAUAUUGGAAAAUGGGCGCAAGCCUGAUGCAGCCAUGCCGCGUGUAUGAGGGAGGCCUUCGGGUUGUAAGGUACUUUCAGCGAGGAGGCGUUACUCGCAGAAGAAGCACCGGCUAACUCCGUGCCAGCAGCCGCGGUAAUUC
rnacentral:rRNA from 1 species